rnacentral:sRNA from 1 species
UUUCUCUCGCACCGUCGCAUGACUUUGCUAUUUUUUUCUCUCUCUAACCUCUCUGUAAUCUCUAAAAGUACUAAGAGAUCACUCAUCAGCCAUUGAUGUGCUCCUUCCCUUCCGAAUCCACCACUCUCUCUCUCUGGUGAAUGUUGAAGGCAAAAAAGGAGCAGAGGAUGUAAUGCAAGAAGAAGGUUGGCAAAAAAGCAGCAGAGAACGCAAUCAUGCAAUGCAAGAAGAAAUAGAGCCACUGUAGACUUUGUAGUGAGACAUUGAUUGAGACUUGAGAAAGAGAAUUACUGUGUUUUACUUAAACAAUUUCCCAAUCUACGUUAAGAUUUGGAGACGCAUGUAAUUGAUAGAAAGUCGAAUUCUACUAUAUAAAAACACAAUCAUGCUAGUGUCAGGUUAAUUUAAUCAGUUGUUAUCCAUUUUAUUGGCCUAUUAAUCAACUUGAUGU